rnacentral:rRNA from 1 species
CGGCGACGGGUGAGUAACGCGUGGGUAACCUGCCUCAUACAGGGGGAUAACAGUUAGAAAUGACUGCUAAUACCGCAUAAGACCACAGGGCCGCAUGGCCCGGUGGUAAAAACUCCGGUGGUAUGAGAUGGACCCGCGUCUGAUUAGCUGGUUGGUGGGGUAACGGCCUACCAAGGCGACGAUCAGUAGCCGACCUGAGAGGGUGACCGGCCACAUUGGGACUGAGACACGGCCCAAACUCCUACGGGAGGCAGCAG